rnacentral:rRNA from 1 species
UACGGAGGUGCAAGCGUUAUCCGGAUUCACUGGGUUUAAAGGGUGCGUAGGUGGGCUGGUAAGUCAGUGGUGAAAUCUCCGGGCUUAACUCGGAAACUGCCAUUGAUACUAUCAGUCUUGAAUACCGUGGGAGUCAGUAGAAUAUGUCAUGUAGCGGUGAAAUGCUUAGAUAUGACAUAGAAUACCAAUUGCGAAGGCAGCUGGCUACACGAAUAUUGACACUCAGGCACGAAAGCGUGGGGAUAAACAGG